UUGAAUUUUGAAGGGGGUUGUAGCUGAUCUUUAUAUAAGAUAUGUGCACACUCUCUAUCCAAAUAUUUACACCCUGUGCACCUUUUGUAGGCCAACAUUGUUGGUCUAUGUUUUUUUCAAUGCACACUGUUAUAAGAGUUUAGAAUGCUUUGAAUUUAUUAAUA
rnacentral:misc_RNA from 1 species